rnacentral:lncRNA from 1 species
CACACACACACACACACACAUACACACACACACAUACAUUUCCCUCCCAUCCCACUCCAAAUUCCCACCAGGAGUUCAGCUUCUAAACAGCUCCUUAGCCUUGUCUGGUGUACUUCAACUUUCCAAGGUUCCGGACUUUCUCUCCUAUAUUGAGUAUUAGUGGACUGUUUUCCCCCCACCCUUCACUCACCUCCCAAAGAAGUAAUUUUUUUCUGAUUGUGUCCCAAGUCAUGAAACUGUGUGAACCACCACUUCCCACAAAUCCACCAUCUUUUUUUCUCUUACUCAUUCUCAGUAUUCAGAUACUUUAGCUCCAUUAUUCUAAUGUAGUCAGAAAAAAAUAGAAUAAAACAAAGCAUCUAAGAAAUAGGAACUUCAGCAGAUUAAGAGAUGACAGGCUUUGGUUUUGUAUGCAACACAGCAGCUCUGAUUACUGACAUUUACCCAUAGAGGCAUGCGGUGGUUAACAGGUAGUUGCAAAAGAAAACCACAGUAGCAGAGGCAAAAGACAAAGCUAUGGCGACAUUCCUUCUUUAGGCUUAGUGCAGUAAAAGACCCUAAGCUUCUUGAGCAAAGAGUCCCGAGGCUGUUAACAAGUUCGUGCCAGAAAGAAAAGUUGACUACACUCUGCGAUAGAAUUGCACCAACUCUGUUUCCUUGAUGUACCCCAAACAUGCUUAUGUAUAAGUAUGGUCCUUUGGGAACCAUCUCUUUGGCCCAUGGAACCACUAAUAAAAUGUUGCUUUCAGA